GAUGAACGCUGGCGGCGUGCCUAAUACAUGCAAGUUGAGCGAACGGACGAGAAGCUUGCUUCUCUGAUGUUAGCGGCGGACGGGUGAGUAACACGUGGAUAACCUACCUAUAAGACUGGGAUAACUUCGGGAAACCGGAGCUAAUACCGGAUAAUAUUUUGAACCGCAUGGGUCAAAAGUGAAAGACGGUCUUGCUGUCACUUAUAGAUGGAUCCGCGCUGCAUUAGCUAGUUGGUAAGGUAACGGCUUACCAAGGCAACGAUGCAUAGCCGACCUGAGAGGCUGAUCGGCCACCCUGGAACUGAGCCACGGUCCAGACUCCUACGGGAGGCAGCAGUAGGGAAUCUUACGCAAUAGGCGAAAGCCUGACGGAGCAACGCCGCGUGAGUGAUGAAGGUCUUCGGAUCGUAAAACUCUGUUAUUAGGGAAGAACAUAUGUGUAAGUAACUGUGCACAUCUUGACGGUACCUAAUCAGAAAGCCACGGCUAACUACGUG
rnacentral:rRNA from 1 species